rnacentral:lncRNA from 1 species
UGGAAACCUUAUUUCUUUUUUUCUUUUUACUUUUAUUUUAGAUAGAGAAAGAGAAGGCAUAAGCGGGGCAGAGGGGCAGAGCAUUAUCUAGUACGAGAUAGAGAAUUUCUAUAGUAGAGUCUGAGAAUUUCAAGCAGGCUCCACACUCACUGCAGAGCUCUACAUGGGGCUCAAUCCCAUGACCCUGAGCCAAAAUCAAGAGUGAGACACUCAACGAGUUGAACCACCUAGAUGCCCCAGAAAUCAUAUUUCUAAUGCUUACGGUAACUUUUCAUAAAAACUGGAAGGCAAUGAAAGUUGAAGCAUUAUUUGGGAAAGAUGAUUUGAUGAUGAUCUAAUAUAAUAUGGUCCAAAAGUAUAAAUUUCUAUUUGGUCUUCAUGAAAAAUUAAUUUUGAAAAAAUAAAGGAGAGGACGACAGGCUAGAAAUUUUCAAACAUUUUUUGUUUUGACUCAUACUAGAUAAUGCUCGUAAGCACAACACACUCCCAUAUGUAUCAGAUGCAAGUUUCCUCUGUGACCCAAGAAACAUAAUGGAAUGCCAUGGCAUAGGGAUAAUAUAAUAAUUAGGUCCACCUUGAUUUACUUUUUAACAUAAAUUACUUAUCAACUUCAGGACUUUCCCGUUGUUAAAAAAUCAGCAGUAACACACUGUGGAGGAACUCUUCGUUUUUCCGUGGUUUAGAAAGAAUUUGUCAGAAUGAGUUACCUGCUCUGUCAGAGAAAGCAAAGACCAGUAUCCUCAGGCCUUUUGACAGGUAAGAAAACUCAUGUCAUGCUUCCUGUAAAGCUAGAUCUCUGCCAUCUCCUCACUAGUGGGUUCCAUCGGCCUCACUGUUGGGAGACAUAUGUCUCUGACUGCUGCCUCAAGAGUUUCUCACUCUGACCUCAAGAAGGCUGGAAACUCAUUUCAGUCUUGUACCCCAGCAAAGCAAGAACUCACAAGAAAUCUCUUAUUGUAGGAAAGGGUUCAAAGAUUGGGACAACCAAAAUGAGUAUCAAAUAUUUGCUACAGAGGACAGGUACAGAUUUAAUGCAAAAGAUAAAAUGUUUUCACUUUGCAGCACUGAAGCCUGACAGACACUGCCUCAGUCAAACGGUGAAGGAAAACCUCACCCCAGUGAUAAGUCGUGUUGAACACACACCAGCCUGAUAGGACAAGAAUGGAAGUUUAUCUCUGUGGUCACCCCAUCAAGGAUACCUAACCCCAUUUUAACCAUGAGAAAAGCAGCAGACAAGCUCAAACUGAGAGACAAAUACCUGAACACCACUUGUCAAAACAGCCAAAAUCAUCAAAAACAAGCAAAGAUUCAGAAUCUGUCACAAACCAGAGAAGGCUAAGGAGACACAAUGACUAAAUAUGAUACCGUGGAUUCGAUCCUGGCACACAAAAGACAUUAGGGAAAAUCUAAUGAAAUCUGAAUAACGUGUCUCACUUCUUGGCAUUUUGGCUAAGAUGGUGUGAAUAAAAUGUGGAGUUUAGUUAAUAGUAAUAUACCA